UUUGCCCAGUCGUGCUAUUUUUAUUUUAUUUUAGCUACAGCCAGCUAUAUAUGCCAGUUCCAUCCUAGUACAUAGGUGUUACACUCUGCACUUUGAUAACGAGUUCAUAAAUAAUUAUUUAUAAUUUCAGCUUCCCCUGCAAUAUAUUUAUUAUAGUAGAAUUUGAAACCUCCCAUUUCCAUACAGAUUUACAAAGUCUGUUGAAUCCGUAGAAUAUUGAACUUUAUGGCCAAGGAUCUGUCAGGGUGGCGGUCCGGUGCCCGGGACCCAGACACUGUCCGGGCGGCGGUGCGAGGAGCGGGACCAAGUAUGCCUGAUGUUCAGAGUAGGAGUCAAAGUGUGGAGGUGGAUUAGCAGGGUCUGGUGCAGGGUAAACACACGCCCCCUGGUGUUGAGCACCAGCGUUUGUGCAGCCACAUACCAGAACCCUGAUUCAGCUUAUGCGGAUUCCAGGAACUAGGAGCAGGAAUUAAGCAGACCUCCCAAAGUUGAAUAGGGAGGCUCUGCAGCAGGAAUGUAUCCAGUACAGAAACAAGGCAAGACUAGAAAUAGGCACCAAACAUGAAAACAAGACAGAACUAGGAGAACCCAGAACCGGAGAAGGAUAGAAAGCAGAACCCAGAACAUGUACACAAGACAUGAGGAAAACAAGAACAGGUCAGGACAGGACUGUACAUGAACUGGGAAUACAAGACAAAAUAAAACAAGACAAGAGAUACAAGGUAAAAACAAGGAGACAUAACUAAGUACUACAUAUGAAAAUCGUGGGGAUUUAGUCACAUUAUAUGAUCAGACAUUGCAUAAACCUGCCAACAAUGCCAAUGUGCCCCAUAUCUGGCAGGUCCUACUCUGCCUAAUGUAUGCUAAAUUAACCAAAGAAAACACACAUAGCACUUACCUGCAAGAAAAGGCAGAAGACUUGAG